rnacentral:rRNA from 1 species
AUUGAACGCUGGCGGAAUGCUUUACACACGCAAGUCGAACGGCAGCACGGACUUCGGUCUGGUGGCGAGUGGCGAACGGGUGAGUAAUGUAUCGGAACGUGCCCAGUCGUGGGGGAUAACGUAGUGAAAAUUACGCUAAUACCGCAUACGAUCUAUGGAUGAAAGCGGGGGAUCGCAAGACCUCGCGCGAUUGGAGCGGCCGAUAUCAGAUUAGGUAGUUGGUGGGGUAAAGGCCCACCAAGCCAACGAUCUGUAGCUGGGCUGAGAGGACGACCAGCGACACUGGAACUGAGACACGGUCCAGACUCCUACGGGAGGCAGCAGUGGGGAAUUUUGGACAAUGGGCGAGAGCCUGAUCCAGCCAUUCCGCGUGCAGGAUGAAUGCCCUCGGGUUGUAAACUGCUUUUGUACAGAACGAAAGGGUUUCUACUAAUACUAGGAGCUCAUGACGGUACUGUAAGAAUAAGCACCGGCUAACUACGUGCCAGCAGCCGCGGUAA